ACCUUCGAAAUGCAAACGUAUUCUAUUUGAAACACUCAAUAUUAUAGCAAUCAAAUGAAUCUGUACGUUUUAUUAUUGCUUGUAGUAGCCUUAAUUGGUUUGACUUUGGGUAAUCCAAGUCCUGCUGGCGGCGGAGGCAGUUGUCCCGAUAAAUAUUCGUGUAACGGAGGAGGUGGUCCUUCCGAAAAUGGGUACUAGACUUAUUACCACUAUUUGAGCACGGUAUUUUUAUAUAAAUGCCUCGAGUUUUGAUGAUUAUUUCUCUAGCCUUGUUAUACACCUUGAAAAAUUAGAAAAAUAAAAUACAAGUUUUAACAAUUUAA